UUUCACAAAUGAACUGGUUUGGCAAAUGAGGAACUGGACUUUACAUUUUUUGUUCAAUUUUAAUGAAAAUUAAACUUCAAUUGUGAAUUAAUUUUAAUUAGGAUAACUAUACCUAACUAGUGGCUAUUGUACUGACCGUAGCUCUAGGAUGUUUCUCAGACGACAAGAAUAAGUCUUCUGUAAUUUGAAAAAGAUACCAGGAAAUAUCCGUAGAGUCAAUUUAAAAUGAGA
rnacentral:lncRNA from 1 species